CAGGGAGACAACAAAAUGUUUAAUAUUAUUAUUUUGUCACCUUAGGUCGAUCGGUAUCUCACGUUCUUAAUUUGUUAAGAAUUUCAUUUCCUAAGUUUUUCUAGGUCACACCCAUUAUUUUUCCUGGGCCAUUAGCUCAGGUGGUUAGAGCGCACCCCUGAUAAGGGUGAGGUCCCUGGUUCAAGUCCAGGAUGGCCCAUAUCUCUAUGUUGGGGGUAUAGCUCAGUUGGUAGAGCGCCUGCUUUGCAAGCAGGAUGUCAGCGGUUCGAGUCCGCUUACCUCCACUGAUUACCACCUCUUCCAUAACCGGUAGAAAGGAAAUGUUUUGAGUUGUGAUAAUUAUUCUGAACGAAUCUAGCUUCCUAAUGAAAUUAUUAAGAUGCUGGACUCAUUGAAUUAAUUUCAUUGUUUUCAGAGAACCUUGACAACUGCAUAGAUUUUUUUAAAGACAAUAAGCAUCUUUAAUGAUGCAGAUUUAUUAUUUGUGCGAAUGCAUUAAUAACAAUUCUAUUAAGCUGAUGCUUCAAUUUUUGAAGUUAUU
rnacentral:tRNA from 1 species